rnacentral:rRNA from 1 species
AUGCAUGUGUAAGUACAAGCCGAUGUAAGGUGAAACCGCGAAUGGCUCAUUAAAUCAGCUAUGUUUUAUUGGAUCUGUACCCCCACUUACUUGGAUAACUGUGGUAAUUCUAGAGCUAAUACAUGCACACAGAGUCCCCGACCGCAAGGGAGGGGCGCUUUUAUUAGUUCAAAACCGGUCGGACCUCGGUCCGUAACCCACCUGUGGUGAAUCUGAAUAACUUUGAGCUGAGCGCACGGUCUCCGCACUGGCGCCGCAUCUUUCAAGUGUCUGCCUUAUCAGCUUUCGAUUGUAGGUUAUUCGCCUACAAUGGCUAUAACGGGUAACGGGGAAUCAGGGUUCGAUUCCGGAGAGGGAGCCUGAGAAACGGCUACCACAUCUAAGGAAGGCAGCAGGCACGUAAAUUACCCAUUCCCAGACCGGGGAGGUAGUGACGAAAAAUAACGAUGCGAGACUCAUCCGAGGCCUCGCAAUCGGAAUGAGUACACUUUAAAUCCUUUAACGAGGACCCAUUGGAGGGCAAGUCUGGUGCCAGCAGCCGCGGUAAUUCCAGCUCCAAUAGCGUAUAUUAAAGUUGUUGCGGUUAAAAAGCUCGUAGUUGGAUUACAGUUCCGGACUGACGGUUCACCGCCCGGUGCUUACUGUCACGCUCCGAACAGCCUGAAACAUGGCCCCGCCGGCC